rnacentral:rRNA from 1 species
GCUAAGAAUCUUCCGCAAUGGGGGAAACCCUGACGGAGCGACGCCGCGUGGAUGAUGAAGGCCGUAAGGUUGUAAAAUCCUUUUGCAGGUGAAGAAUGGCGCGGGGAGUGGAAAGCCCCGCGGAUGACGUUAGCCUGCGAAUAAGCCCCGGCCAAUUACGUGCCAGCAGCCGCGGUAAUACGUAUGGGGCAAGCGUUGUUCGGAGUUAUUGGGCGUAAAGGGCGUGUAGGCGGCUUUUCAAGUCUGGUGUGAAAUCUCCGGGCUCAACCCGGAGCACGCGCUGGAAACUGGAAGGCUUGAGUUCUGGGGGGGAAGCUGGAAUUCCUGGUGUAGGGGUGAAAUCUGUAGAUAUCAGGAAGAACACCGGUGGCGAAGGCGGGCUUCUACUCAAGGACUGACGCUGAGGCGCGAAAGCGUGGGGAGCAAACAGGAUUAGAAACCCCAGUAGUCC